CUUUGUGCAGCAGGACAACACGGCUCGCCACUGCCCGGCAGGCAGGCGUGGGUAGCUGGUCCCGGCUCACUCCAUCGCUGUCAGACCAAAGAAGGAAGGCAGGACGAGCUUUCUCUCCAGAAAGGACCGGAUUUUGGUGUGAAUUUCACUGAUUCACACAAAAGAGCCUCGAGCGUAUUCGUAAAGUGUCUUGAAAUGGAACAGUGGCACCAGGGACGUGAAACCCAAGACUUCGGAGAACGGUUGAUUCACCAAAAUUGUUCCAAACCAUGGGGCGUGAACGAGCAGUGGCCCGUAACGAGAGACAAACCCACCAAGAGACUCUAACGCCCAUUUUUCUCCACGUCAUUUGUCAGAGGACAGCCUGGAGUUCAAGCCAUCUUUGUUUCCAGAGGGUGGCGCUCUCUCCCUCAUGUGCCGCAUUCGAGUGAAUGCUGGUGGGCCUGCUCUGGACACGCCUGCAAGAUGCAGUGAUAUUCAGACAGGAUGUCACGUGCCUCUGCCGUCGUAAGCCUCGUUGAUGUAGAUGGAUUCCUAAGGUUGAAGUUAAUAUCAGUGAGACUGAUGGAUGCCAGGGAAUCUUCAGUUUUGAAAACAUCAAAUAAAUUCUACGUGCCUUGUGCUGGAGUUCCCCAGAAGAAGACCCGUCCAUGGCCCUUUGCUGACAGAAAAGGGAAUUUGUGCAUCCCCUCCUGGGGGGGCUCCCUGUCAUUUCCUUAUACUGCCUCUGGGCCCUUGGAAUGGUGGGCAGAUGGAAGCCAUUAUAG